AUCCUCAAUCAAAGAGCUGGUUGUAGAUCAUGAAUUCCUAAAUGGUCUACAGAGGUUUAAUGAUGGUGACAUUAAUGUCACAGUUGAGGGCCUAUUCCCGAGCUUGAAUCAACUGACUUUUAACACUCUUCAAACUGUCUCACAAGGAGUUGUUGAACGGUUGGCACAUUCCAGCCUAGCAGUGUUGUCUAUUGAGCAUGGUGAGGGAGGGAGGAAAUUAGUUCCUCUCAUUGGAGAACCUGCUUCGUUGGGGCUACUUUUCUCUAGUUCAUUCCCACAACUCACAUGUCUGACCUUUCGAGAGCUAGUAAUGGGCAACAUACGCAGUGAAGCAAUACUACGUAAUCUAAUGAACCACCUGCAUUUGAAAUCAAUGCGUAUCAUCAAAUGUUUUACGGAUGACGAAUUGGACCCCCUGGCUAAACAAAUAACUGCUGUGAAAAGGAUGAAAAUAACUCUUCAACAUGACACGGAACAAGAGAGCAUAGAAUUAAGUGAUGUGGAUUCCUUAGAUACAGUGGAUGCACUUUGCCAUCGAACAUGUGUUCGUUGUUUGACAGUACGCAAAAUGGGCGUAAAAAGUGCAAGUGACGAAUGUUUUCCAGACCUUCAUGGCAGAGAGGUGGAUUCA